rnacentral:tRNA from 1 species
GGAGAUGUAGCUCAGUGGUAGAGCACUUGCCUGUCAUGUGCAAAGCCUUGGGUUCCAUCCCCAGCACCA